UACGAAGGGGGCUAGCGUUGUUCGGAAUCACUGGGCGUAAAGCGCACGUAGGCGGCUUUCUAAGUCAGGGGUGAAAUCCUGGAGCUCAACUCCAGAACUGCCUUUGAUACUGGAAAGCUUGAGUUCGGGAGAGGUGAGUGGAACUGCGAGUGUAGAGGUGAAAUUCGUAGAUAUUCGCAAGAACACCAGUGGCGAAGGCGGCUCACUGGUCCGGUACUGACGCUGAGGUGCGAAAGCGUGGGGAGCAAACAGG
rnacentral:rRNA from 1 species